CCAACAACCACAUCGUCUGGUCCAACAAGUACUACAGCAGUUCCAACAACUACAACUUCAAGUCCAACAACUACCACAGCAGUUCCAACAACCACAACAACUGCUCCCACAACCACAACUGCAGGUCUAACAACUACCACAGCAGUUCCAACAACAACAACUUCAACAGCAGCUCAACCCACCACAACUGCAGGUCCAACAACUACCACAGCAGUUCCAACAACUACAACUUCAAGUCCAACAACUACCACAGCAGGUCCCACAACAACAACAGCAACUCCCACAACUACAUCGUCUGGUCCAACAAGUACCACAGAGAUUCCAACAACCACAACAACUGCUCCCACAACCACAACUGCAGGUCCAACAACUACCACAGCUGUUCAAAUAACUACAACUUCAAGUCCAACAACUACCACAGCUGGUCCCAGAACGAUAACAGCUCCUGAAACAAACACAACUGAAGGUCCAACAACUACCACAGCAGGUCCCACAACAACAAAAGCAACUCCCACAACUACAUCGUCUGGUCCAACAAGUACCACAGAGAUUCCAACAACCACAACAACUGCUCCCACAACCACAACUGCAGGUCCAACAACUACCACAGCUGUUCAAAUAACUACAACUUCAAGUCCAACAACUACCACAGCUGGUCCCAGAACGACAACAGCUCCUGAAACAAACACAACUGAAGGUCCAACAACUACCACAGCAGGUCCCACAACAACAAAAGCAACCCCCAAAACUACAUCGUCUGGUCCAACAAGUACCACGGAGGGUCCAACGACCUCAACAGCUGCUCCAACAACUACAACAGCUGCUCAAUCCACCAAAACUGCAGGUCCAAUAACUACCACAGCAGUUCCAACAACUACAACUUCAAGUCCAACAUCUCCCACAGCAAGUCCCAGAACAACAACAGCAACUCCUACAACUACAUCGUCUGGUCCAACAAGUACCACGGAAAGUCCAACAACCGCAACAGCUGCUCCAACAACCACAACUGCAGGUCCAACAACUACCACAGCAGUUCCAACAACUACAACUUCAGGUCCAACAACUACUACAUCAGUUUCAACAACUAUUACAGCAGAUCCCGCAACAACAACUUUUGCUCCAGCCACCACAACUGUAGGUCCAACAACUACCAAAGCAGUUCUCUCAAUAAUAACAGCAGGUCAAACAACUACAACGGUAGGUCGUGCAACAACAACAGCUGCUCAAAACACCACAACUGCAGGUCCAACAACUGCGACAGAAACUUAUACAACAGCAGUUCCAACAACUACAACAUCAGGUCCCACAACUACAACAGCUGCUCAAACCACGACAACCGCAUUUCAAAAAACAACAUCAAGACGAACAACGUCCACUGCAAGUCCCACAACGACAACUGCUAAUCAAACCACAACAACAACAGCAGGUUCAAAAACCCCAACUGCUGUUCCUACAACCACAGCUACUCCAACCACCUCAAUUGGAAGACCUACAACUUCAACUGUAGGCCCAACAACAACAAUCGCAGGUACCACAAUUACCAUUGCGGGCCCCACAACAACAACAACAACAGUUGGUCUCACAACUACAACAGCAACUAAAGCAACUAAAGAAGUCACAGGCACUCCGACUAGUUCCCCGGAAUCCACAACAGUAUCAACUAACCCUCCAGAAGAAGAUGAAGGCUACCUUCUACUGCAGUUUCGAAUAAUGCGUAAAUGGAUCCCAGCUUACAUCAAUCGUCAGUCUAAAGAAUACAAAGCGAUCAGUUUUAAUAUAACAACAGAGUGCAAUAGAGGAUACCGCCAUUCCUAUCCGAACAUUUUCCUUAGAUCGCAUCUAAGACAUCUGUGGGAAGGCUCUGUGGGGACAGAUCUUGAUCUGAUCUUUGUGAAUCAAUCAGUUGUGCCAAACAUUACUAGUGUAGAAGAAUCUCUGAAAACUGCACUAGAUGCAUCGAUUAUAUUCCUGAAUAUAAUUCCAAGCAGUAUCAAAGCAGCCAUGCCAAAUAUGACCGAAGAUACCUCAUCCACAACUGCUGCUGCAACAUCAACAACAGCAACAACAACAAGACCACACAGACCCACCACUGUAGGGUCUUCAACAACAUCAAGAUUAACAACGCCAAAUAAUGCCGCAGCUACAGCCACAAGCACAUCUGCAACCAGCAACCGAGCAGCUAGCAAAAAUAUUGAUCUAUUCGCUAGACUGUUCUUCACCUCACUGCUUCACGCCCUGUUUAACAAUGUAUAAACAAUCAUGGUUUCAUAAUCUUUCAGGGUUUCAAGUUUUCAUAGAGGACUUGUCUAUUAAUGUAAAAAAAAAUAUAUAUGUAAUAUUUACUAAUUAGUAUUUUAUUAAUGAAUUACUUAUGAUUUGUAUGUGAAUAUUUACUAAUAUAUUAUCUGUUUAAAAUCAAACAAUGUAUGUCAAUCAUUUUAAAUAAAGGAAAAAAUCUGGAAACAUGUACAACUUACAUAUGGAACAUAUAUGUACGUGGGUAGCAAUUACAAUAGUGUUAUUACCUUUCACGAUUUCAUUUCUCUCUUAAAAC
ensembl:lncRNA